GCAGGGUUCGUGAGGGGACAGAAAAACGUGGGGUGACAGAAGUCAGGCCUGUGGCCGGGGCGUGACACAGGCCUUGGGGAGCUCAGGCAGAUGGGAGCUGCCAGGUGAGACUCACGGCCCUGUGAGGCACGCUGAGGAGAUGGGCCCUGUGGGGCCUGGCGCCAUGAGGUGUGAGGAGCACAGGCCUGUGAGGCGCCCUGUGGGGCCCUGUGGCCGUGGCGGCUGCAUGGCAGGGCGGGACACCAUGGCCUCCCAUGAGCCCAGAGAAAAGCUCAGUGAGAGCUGAGGAAAAACUUUAAAUGGGCCAUAGCCUGAAGAUAUUAUACUCUCCCUGGCUGACAGCCUCGUUCUGGAGAUCAGCCAGGGAGGACGAGAAUGGGGCCCUUGGGUUCUGAACAUAUUAACAAAAUAAAUAACCCCAACCGCAGCACCCCCUUCCACUCCCGUCAGCACAUUCCACAGAGGAGCCCAGAACACCCUUCCUCUCCCGCUGCCUCCUGAGUCUACCCCCUGAAUCUGUUAUAUGUGAAAAUUUUGGCUUCGUUUGUGUAAGGUGAUGUUUUUGUGCCUGAAAUCCAAAACCAUCUGUUCUAGAGAAACUGCAGAAACAAAUGUGAAAAACCCAUGCAGACACUGAAAUCCCAUCCUUGUCAAGGUACUGUAAGACACAACUGCUCCUGUAUCUACUGGUUGAAAACCUUGUUACCCUGCUGGUAGGGGAGUGCACAAGAAUACAAUUUUGCAGUGAUUUAUCUGGAGAUCCUGAAAAUGUUCAAAUACCAAGACCUACACUACUGACCAGUGAAUUUACUGCUUGUAUUUGCACCCAAGAAAGAGAAGGUCCAAACAGUACUAUGGAAAAUGAACUGCUCACAACUGUGGAUAAAGGUAACAAUGACUCCUAACCCACUGGUCUUUUUUCCCUGACAAAAUGUUCAGCAGCAGAAAUCAACAUUUGCACUUACUGUGAAAGAGAAUUCAGCCUGCUCAUAUUUCCACUAGCAAGAGUUGCCCUGUCUCUUUCGACCAAGUCUGCUAGCUUAUCUAAAAGAUGGCCUCUUUCUGAUGCAUCCAUUCUCCUCCAAACUGAACCUAGAGAAAAAGCAAGGCGAGCAGCUCUCACUGCUUUGUCUGUAUCAACCUGUCAAGAAGGAACAAAUAACAAAUAAAGUGACUGUGGUAAAGGCUAACUCUAAAUCAGAGAGAAUAUUUGACAGCAAAUGUUCCUAUCUAUGGAUUAUAUAUAACCCAUCCAAAACACCAGAUGAAAAAAGGAUAACCCCAGAAAAAAGAAGGGCUUGCUUCCAUGUAAAUCAUGCUACAAAUUGGACAACACCCAGUGAGUUCAUUGUUCAACCUCAAUUGUGAAGGCUAUUCACAUUUACUAUUCCCCUGGAAUCAAUGUUAAUUAAGGCUGACUGGGGCUAUAAAUCAGCCUUUGGUUUUUACAACUUAAUUCAGCAUUAAGCAUAUAUAUGUAAAUAAAAGGUAACUGAUUAACCACUUGAGUUUUCCAGGAGUUACUGAGGUAAUUUGUUUUUGUUUGAGUCCUAGUGUUACCUUUUGUGGUUUGCAGUAGGGAAAAGAAAAAGUGUAUAGUAUGUCAUGUAUUUGCUAUGCAGUAUUGUGAGUAGUUAAAUAAUCUGGCCUGUUGGGUGCUAUCAACAAAACUUUGCCAAAAUGGAAAGGGAAGAAGGGAACACUUGAAAACUUUUGGAACACAGGAACAUUGAGUUUGCCAUCUCCUCUCAGAAGAGCCAAUAACUGCAGUAAUGUCCAACCAGUAAGAGAAAAGGCAACCCUUCUCCUUUACUGAGGUGUCCCCGUCAGCACAGUCAUUUGGCUAAGAACAAACCCAACAGGCAGAACAGACGCUGCCUCCUGUAAAUGAGGAAUCUGGAUGUAGCUGGUGUCCAGUAGUCUAGAGAGGAAGGCAACCACUGUUUCUUCGCCAGCAGUGCAGCCUGAGGCAACCUGCAAGACAGGGCAGUAGCUGGGGUAGCAGAUGGGUGGGUGUGUAUGUGCACCGGAUGGGGAAGCCUAGCAGGCAGGUACCUUGCAGCGCAGUAACUAACUAAUCCUAAAGGUAUCUUGGUAAUUUCUGUUCCUCUCCAAAUGAAAGGUAGAGAGGAUGUGGCUUUUCCUAAAAGAACAGGCACUGUCUCCCUGGUUCUAAUAACCUCUUCCUCAUACACACAUGCCUUACAUAGACUUUGCAAGAUAAUGGUGCCACCACGUAAUUGCUAGAUUCAAAUUCUGCCCAUGGUUACUUAUGUACAACCACUGUUGAUUCCUUUAAGAGAUACAUAUGACUAAUCAAGGAAGCAUUCUGGCUCAUCACAUAGGGUACAUGACUGUUCAGAGCCUACGAGAUACCAUAACAUACAAACCUGUAUACAAAGGAAAAAGAACAUUUAGAGUUACCAUGUAAAAAUUCAAGUUACUUGAGACUCUGCUGAAAUGUAGUUGGAAGGAAAUCAUAUAUUGCACUUUGAGUAAGACCUGCAUUUAAAAAGCACUGGGCAUUGAGUUCAAUAGCAUUGUUGUAUGCUCAUCAGCUUUGAAAUCAAGCCAAGAGUAAAUGUCUUUAGUUUAAAGCAAAGCAAAUAAAGCUUUGCAAAUGAGCAAAUACAAUAUCUUGUAUAAGUAGCCAUCUGACCCAGUUGGCUUGCUAAUGGUUAGCAACUUAGUGUUCAUUUCAAACCAUGGAGGUAAUUAAUUUCUAAAUAGGAGUGAUAAACAUUCAAAGAGAAAGGGAUGUGUACAAAACAUCUGCAAUGCCAUAGUAGCAAAAUUUACAGCAGGGAGGAAAUAUGCAGGAUUUUAUGUUUUCAUCACUAUUUACUACUGAGGAAGUACAAAACAACAAUCGUUUCGGGUGUGUGUAUAAAUACAAAAUUAAUUAAAAUGCAGCACAGAAAUAAUACCACCUUUACAGCUCUUAGCUGAAUAAGACUUGGUUUUCUGGCACUACAAAUUCCGUCUUAUGUUCACCCAGGGGCUAGCCCUGGAUUUGGAAAGGAGGGCUGAUUCUUAAGUUCAUUGAGGAUUCCUGCUUGCUCUCUUUUUUGUAUCAUCUCUAACAACACAGGAAAAAAAAAGUAAUUUGGGUUACUUUAAGUCAGAAGAGCAAUCAACACAGGUGGCAACAAUGUAACUUUUCAUUUCCUUCCUUGAAAAUAUUCUCAAAUGAUGUGCAAGUGAAAUGAUGAUCUGCAUUCUUAAUUUGAUAUUGCUUAGUGAUGAUGUCACCAGACAUUUUCUUCGGACUCUCCAGCUGUAUAAGUAAGAACUGCAGCCAGUGGACAGACAGUGGCCUAGCCUUCAGCUCUUUAGAGGUGGAAUUAUUUUCCCAUGAAUUUAAUAAACAAUGUUUUUGUACUGUUGCAGAUCCAGAAAUGUUUUUUUGGUACAGGAAGAGGAUUUUAACAUCCAAAUAAUAAUGGCUUCCCACAGGAGAUAUGGUUCUGGAUGAAUGGAGGAAUGAAUGGGAAUUUCCUAACUCAAUUGAUUUAGUAGCUGGUUAUAGUUUCAUUCCAUCAAAGAUCUUUUUUUCAUAUGUGGCUUCCUCCUUAGAGAGCCUUUGACAUUAAAUCUGCAAGGAUGGGGGAGGGGGCAUCAGAUGCCAAAGUACUUUAUAAAAGAAUCACAGCUGUUCAGCCUUCAGCAUCUUCUCAUAGCUGGAGGCAUUACAAAAUACAUAUAAUGGCUUUUUUUUUUUUUUUUUUUUUUUGUGAUGGGGUGGGGGACAUACAACCAUUUUAGAGGCAUGCAAAAAAUCUAGCAGCAGCAUUUCCCUUGGUAAAUACUUCAUAACAUCACAGAUACCGGGCACCUGUGCCUCAGUCUGGUCAGGAAAUUUCAUAUCCUUUCCCAUCACAGCAAUUUCAUUUCCUCUCCUUUGGAAACAAUUCAGGAGUCCUUAUGAUUAGUACAAUUGCAAGGGAAUGAAGUAGAAGGGAUUGCCAAUCAGAGGUGCAGAUUGUUUAUUUUCUCAGGCUUUGUUUGCCUCCACUUUUAUGGCUGUCUUGAUACAACAAAUCUCUUACUUUCUAGCCAGAGCAUUUUGUGGGGCACUCUUGGGAUUGACUGGAAACCAACAGCUGGCUACAGAACCAGCAAAACCUGGUUUAUAAACAGGCAUUAGGAAAGCAAAAGCCAACCAAAGCAGACUGACUGAGGACUGGCCAGCAAUUGAUUAGCAGCAGUGAUCUGUUUAGAGGGGGAUUGUUCAGGUCAACAGUAGGAUUGCGAUGCUCUUUGCCAGGCAGUUCACAAAUUGGACUUUGAAGCCAACCUUCCCAAAUGUUCUCAGUGCUGAGUCCUGCUUCUUAAGGCAGUCAGAACGUGAGCCUUUCAUCGGACAGUGCCAAAGACUGCAUCACUUUCCUACUUAAAUUAAGGCUUACUCUGGCUUGAGCAUACAACCACAAAUGGUUAUCAUGUUUUUCAUUUUAGUUACCACAGAGCAAUAUCACUCCUGCAAAAGUGACCCAGGCUUUGGUUCUUGUAAUGAGAUACUGCUCAAAUGUAGAGGAAUUAUAGUUAUUUUAAGAGGAGCAACAGUGAACUAUACAUGAAUAAAAAUGACCUUUGCACUAAGUUUAAUUCUGGCAAGCAAUCUGCUAUAGCUAUAGCUGGUUUUCAGCUAUUAAAGGUCCAAUCCGUUCCUCAUUAAUCAACAGGAAAACUCCAACUGGUUUCAGUGGGAGCUGGAUCAAGCAACAGCAACAGCCUGCAGAGGGGUGUUUAUACUCAGAGACAAAGCUAUUUCACUGGAGACUUGACACCCACUCCAGAGCCUGUGAGGUCUGCAAAGGCCAAACAAAAACAGAACAGACUUGAUUUUUAUUCUUCUUUGCCCGUUUCUGUUUCUUUGCUGACGUUCUAGUUCAUUAUGGCUCCUUCCCUCUCCCUACCUCACCUGCCCUCAAAAGAGAGUUCUUUUCUAAAACUGUGUGUAUUUGGGGAUUUGUCAUGAUUGUAUCUUUUAACUCAUUUGGUCCUCAGAGUCAGAAGGACCGUGCAAUAGCCUCUACACAUGGUCUGCUAUAAAAGAAGGUUUCCUUCAUAAACUGAAGCUGGAAAUUUCACUUAAGAAAUACAGAGUGUAAAAUUCAGAGUGUCCUGAGAUGGCUGGAGAAUUUUAAACAUUUACAAACAUACUACAGCAGGAGGAUCAAAAAAGCAGAAGUGGACAGGAAACACAAAAGUGAAUGAGGCUGCUCUGGUUUCACUGUCAGUGCAGAGUUAAGGAAGAAUUUUUGUACUGUUAGUAGCAAAAUACAGAAGCAAUAAGUUUCCCGUAGUUCAGGUAAUAUUUUAUGCAUUCCUAAGAAACUAAGCUCCCAAGCUUCACUCAUCCUUUCACUUGUGGGGUUCUCCUUAAUUGCUGAAGAAAAACAUAUACUGUCUUGCUCUGUGCUGCAUCAGAUUUUUUUUUUCUGAAGAUAAGAUGCCUAAAAAAUUGAAUAUGCUCUGGAUUUCUACUGACAACAAAGAAAAGCCAUCACUGAACAAUGUGGGUAAGGAUGAUGGUGCUUUUAUGCAGUAUAUGAUCUUUGGUGGCACUUACUGCAACUUAAAAAUGAAAUAAUGAAAGAUUUCUACAAAUCCAUUAAACCAGGAGAGAAGGGGAGGGAGUAUUUGUUUACAGAAUCAAUUAUUGAGCUGUCACUGGACUUUAAUGAAGUUGUGACUAUUAAGAACUUGAUCCUGGAAACCCUUCCACAAGCACUCAUUUAAGACUGUGGGAAUGAGGAGGGGUUUCUAAAAACAAGGUUACUAUUAGUCUGUAGUAUUCCUGUGUUUUGCAUUGUUUGUGCAUUGCAGGUGUUGUGUGCUCAUUAUGUGUAACAUAAAACAAGGCAAUCUUUUCAUUUGUACAUGGGAGACGUUCUGCCAUUUAAAAGAAUGUAGCAGAUUAUUUGUAGGUAGCUGUUUGCCUUUAAAUGCUCAUCACCAAAGAACAAGGUCUUAGAAAUUAGCUAUGCUGUGUAAAUAUAUACUCCUCCUAGGAUUUCACACUAUAGGCAACAGAGAAAAAUACAAUGGACAAAUACUUUUUGACCUAAAAGCUCCAUCUGAGAAAAUUACCUUACACAUGAGAAAUUGCUGGAAUGUCAACUUCAUUUGCAGUGGCCCCUUAUGGCCUGAUCACCCUCCCUGGCAUGAUAAAUCACUGGCAAGAUCCUUACCUUAACACGUUUGAUCUCAGCUCAGCAAGACUUGGUUUUGAUGUGAAGAACUCCAGAUCUGUUAGGUCAGAGACAAAUAGCAGAGCCACUGACCUGCAAAGUGCUAACUCUAUAUUAGACCCAAGUGAGCAGCCAUAAGCUCCUGGUAAGUUUGCCUUCACUUGUACUUUGCAUCCUGAAUAUUUUCAAAUACUACUGUUAGAAUGCUUUGUUAAUGAUGCCAAUGACAUUUCCUUUCACGUCAUUCUGCACAUACAGAAUCCACAAAAAGUCAAACAAACAAACAGGCACUAUGAGAAGCAUUAUCUUGGAUAAACUGUUCAAAUUACCUGCACUUCAGGGCUACAUGAAAUCAAACCCAGUAUUCAUCAAUUUAUUUGGUUUACAUAAAUGGUUUGCAGUGUCCCUUUUCUGUCUAAACCAUGUUUACCAAUAGGUAUCAUAAGUAACUGUAUUUACUACUACACUCGUUGAGGUGAUUGCAAGUGCCUGUAUGCACGUCUGUACGUACAACUUCAAAUUACUCCUAAAAAAUAAAAAUCUGUCUUGAGAAGUUUGUGUUCAAGUCCAAACUUUCACAAAGACCAGAUGUUGCUCAAGUCUUGCAGCCUCAGUUUGAAACUAUUCCUUAUUAUCCUGGUUAAACAGUCACUUAUCUCUAGGAUAGUAAGCAGGAGUGUUAGUCUACCAGAAAAUUGGAUGUUCUUAAUGGGCUUUUGGGAGAGAAUAGCUUUGCAUCAUCAGCAUUAAGUUAAAUCACAUUAAGUACCUACUUACAACAUAGGGAUUACCACUUAUGACAUCUCUGGUGAAAGCCUUUAAAACAAAUUGUUGUGUUUGUUAGAAGAAGCUGUGAGAUAACAAUUCCCAGAAGUCUGAUUUAUAAACCUUUUUGCUCUUCAAGAAGAUGCAAAGGAACACUACACCUCUCCUCUUAUUCAAUACUGCAAUGAAAUCUCUCAGGCUGUAAAUUCUUUUCAAUAAAAAGGCUUGGGAAAUCUUGAUUUAUUUACUGGAGGAUAUUCCUCUGGAGAGAAGCAGCCUUUAGCUAGAUUCCUUUGCUUCAGAGUUCAGUUCUUAUUUCUUCUCCAGUUCUUUCUGUCGAUUAGACAUUGACUUUACACAUACAAAACUGGAAAGGCCGUUCUACUUUUUAUUAUUCAUAAGGCUGAUCGGGGAGAACCGGGCUUAAGCUGUCGAAGUAUCCUGCUGUGCUUGGAUACCUGACAAAUUUACACCCUAAAGUACACUGUGGUGCUAAGACUAAAAUGGGAUGUGUCCUUGCAAGUGCUGAUUACAGUCCCAAGCAAAUAAACCACUUCAGGGUGUAGCAAAAUAAUGCCAGUAUUUUAAUAGAGUUUCACAUUUUUAUAUAUGGUUGGAAAGCUAUUCCAUAUAGAAAUGUAGGCCUGCAUGAAAAAUGAGAUCUACUUAUCUUUAAAUAGAAGCAGACCAGUAACUCUGAGCAUGUAAAUUAAAAACACGACCCUCACCUUUUGCCAAACAUGAAGCAUUAAAAACAUGGACUAAGGCAAAAACAAAGUCUAACUACACGGAGAUUUCCUUAAAUGAGCAAAGUUAUAAGUCUUGUCAAUAAAAAGCCUUCCUUAAAAAAAAUGUUCAUAUACAUAGUUCUGAGAUUUUUUUCGCCCAUUUCCUUUAAAAUUUGUGUUUCUCUUCCCCUUUCUAACCAAAUUCCCUUUUUCUCUGCUGGAGCCCCUUGUAAUGAUACCAGAAUGUGGGCAAAUCUCAUUAGUCUCCCUGCUGUUUACAAGACAGGAUUUAUGCUCAGUGCAGUGAACACAAUGACACAUGGCUAAAAACCACCAUCAGGACUUAAACCUGAGAUAUUUUUUCACCUAGACAUUGCAAAUACUAUUGGCAUGUACAGGUAUGAAAAACAGUAUUAAUGACUGCAAACAUACGUCACCCAGCUUUCUGUAAAGAGUAUACCAAUAACUAGCAAUUUGUUAAAGGUUAAUUUCAUGCAACCUCUGGCAGUUAUCUGGUAUAAGAUAUGUCACCAAUUCAAUCCAUUAAGUAAUAACUAAAUUCUCAUGGGACCUAGCUGAAGUCAAAUGUUGUUAUUCCAGGUUCACUGCUUUUAGUCUCCCUGAAGACCAUUUAGGCAAACAGCUGGAAGAGCUGACUACAGAGGUUCCCAGUCACAGGGAAUCACUCUAGGAAAGCAAGUAAAGGCUUCUAACCAGGAAAUAAGUUAUCAAGGAUUGGUCCUAAUGCUCCCUCAAGGGGAGAAAUAAAAUGAGUCUGAGCAAGAGCAUGAACACAUUUGUGUUUCAGCUAGAAGAAUCCAAACACUAAAAGCAAUUGUCUUGGCUGAUGGCAGGGAGAGCUAUGCUGCACCAAUUGCUGGGCAUGUUCUGCACUUGGCUCCUGGUUGUCAUCUAAACAGCACGGCCUUCCUUCUUUCUCUGUGUUGAAGUGCUUUACUACAACAAAACCUGUGAGAAGAAACUAAUCAGAUGCAACAACCUGGUAUUCCAGUGUUUUUUCCACAUUGCACCAACGGCAAUCCUCCUCCUAAGAGGAAAAUACAGAAGGAAGCAAUGCCGCAAGCUUCAUCUCAAGUCAUAACGCAGAUUUUCUAGCAAGGAGGGCUCUGCCUCCCAGAUAACACUCAAGGGAAUAACGAGAGACAACAGCUGAUACAGCCAGUGCUCCAAGUGACACCGAAAGAGAGCAAAGAGCAUGAAGAAAGAGAUGUUUUCGUCAAUAUUGUGUGUACAUACAUAGGUGAGUGCAAAGAAAAGAGCAUAAUAAUUGUAUAUGUGUAAACACAGCCUCUGAAAUUCAUCUGUAUUUCCAUUUCCCCAGAAUAGUGCACAGAGAAAAAGAGGUUUUUCUGUUCUAGUAGUCUGACUGGUUUAGCAAGAGAUCCUGUCUCUGACACUGACCUACUGUCUCAGAUAGUCAUGGUUACACUCCCACAAAUUUAAACUCCCCCAUCCGCGAAGAAACUUUGUCACCAGUUUUACAGUGAGACUGAAUCAAUUAAUGCUUUCUAAAAGCUUUGAUGGAAAGAGAUGAAUAUUAACAUUUGCAGUUGUGUGAUGCUAGCUAAAAAUGUCUUUACUAAUGUAAGAAAUGGACUUUAAAAUCGCUCUCAAAGGGCUGGACCACCAAGGUGAGGUCAUCUGCAGCACAGCUAGCACAUUUAGUGUUAAUUUCAUACCACAGAUUCAGAGGACAAGUGAAAAAACAGAGCUUGAUUAUCACCUCUUAGGACAACAGCAUCCCAGAGACAUCACAAAAGACAGAAGAGGCCAUUAGGUAGCUGUAGUAAUGAAAGUGUGGUAAAGACAAAAAGAGGAAAACUAACAAAACAUCAACACUGAUGGAAAAUGUGAAAGCUUAGCCAGAUGUCCUGAAAAAAACCUGUGCAUGUUUCUCAAGGUCUGUGCAGGCCAUUCUGGCACAAGACUGCUGCAACCAUAUGUCACAACCAAAGAAACUGGAGAAAAUAAAAUAAACCUCCUGAUUUGGAAAGGCAGAUGGUAAUUUCUUGAUAGUUUCUAACUACUCAAAAAUAAACUACUUCUGUUACAACUGAAAAGACACAUGAGGAAAUGUAAAAAGUGUAUGUUAUGGUAUACUGGUAAGUUUUGAAAAUACUCACUGGAAUGAGGACAAUGCUUUUAUUAUGCCUGGAUGCAAAGAAUAAACUCCAAAUAAGUUUCAAAUAACAAAAUUGUUGUUAAAAAAUAAUUCUAUGCAUCCAACUGUCAGUUACAUAAAUGCUUCCUCAUAUGACUUUGACAGUGUAAAGAAGUAUUAAAGCUAGUUUAAAUGUAAUUUCUAUUUUAAGGACUUUUAACACUGGCAGAGUGGUAAAUGAGAAUGAGGUGCAAUGUCAUGGGAAGUGCUUUAGUGGCUAGGCUGAAAAGACUUUACAGGGUUUUUCAACUAACUAGAUCACAAUUUUCAUCUAGGUCAUCUUACAGUUAUGAAAUAAAAGCACAAGUGCCAAUAAACCGGCAUAAGAAACCUAAGUGUGAAAAUGGGUGGUCUGGACUGUAUCACAGGGAGGAAAAAGAAAUAGCCUUUUUUGAACAUAAGGGGAUGAGAGUUAUCAGAGGCAUACCACGAUUUCUAGCUAUAAACUUAGGCAGAGAGGACAAGUCAGGCUCUGUAGAGGGGGGAUUAGCUCUGUAUGCAAGGAUUUCCAUGGACAUUCUAUGGAACAGAAAUAUUUGGGAGCCAGAGACAUAACAUACAUCCAUGGAUGUAGAGGCAGCGUAGGUCAUGAAGUAUAAUAGCAGGAGCAGAUACUGACUUCUGGAUUAGAACAACUGAAGUGACACUGAAGUGGAAAAAGAACAGGAAGGCAAUAAAAGAUGAGUGCAACAGUAACUGUAUGUUAGGUCAGUGAGAGCUGCAUUGAUAGUGUCUAGUGAACAUACAGUUCUCCAUAUCCUAAUCUAAACAACAUUUGACAUAGUCCUGUCAAGGGCUAAAAAUUGUGUCUGAACCCCUGAGAAAUGGUUACCACAUAAAUAAUUUCAGCUUCAUUGCAGCAGAGAAACACAUGAAGAAGCCCUACUGUCUGGGAUACUAAACUUCAAGAAGGGGAGUUUUUUUCAAAGGAAGUAACUUAGAAACUCCCUGCUUGAAGCUAGGAAAUUAAAAUCCAUAGAAUCAGCAUGGAGGCUUAAGAAUGUGAAAGAGUCAAAGAUUUGCAUUCCCAAGACUAAAAAUGGGAAGCAGAAGCAAGAAAAUAAAUGGGGUGGCUAAGCAGAAAGAUACCAGAGGAAAUGCAGGCCAAAAGAAAGACCAAAAAAAAAGAAAGAAAGCGCUAACUUUAAAAGGCUGCAAAACACAAAUUGAAAAUGAAAAAUUGUUACUAAAUAUACUGAAGAAAAAUAUACAAAAAAGAUAACACAAAUUAAACAGCCAAGAGAAGACUACGUUUAACAAAUAAGUAAAUACAGUCUGUGGGAGAGCAACUGGAUUUUUAGAACAACCUGGUUAUGAAAGGUAAAAGGAGACUGAAAAUAUUUCCAGAAAUUGCUGCUCAUUUGGAGUGUCCUAAUUUGGCUAUACCAAAGUAGAUGAUUAUUCUGGCCAGAAUUUGAUGAGCUGUAUGGCCAAGGGAAGACAAGCAGAACCAUGAGUUUGUACACAGAUGACAGGUAAAAUACUCGUUCUGGGAAUGCAUCUUUACUAAAAAUCUAACAACAACAAUACACCAAAGACCAUGCCCAAGAUCAGGGUGCUUCAGUCUCAAGUGUGCUGCAAAGAGUCGAAUUUCAGUUCCUGAAAGAAAUCCCAAAUGCUAAUUCAUCUCAAUUCUUCCACUUUACAAGGCUAAGGCAUCAGGAAUUGCAUGAAAGCCACCAAAGAUAUCCCAGGGUGAUGGUGAUGAUGAUGAUGUAUUAAGUGGCGUUUUUCCCACUGAAGCAUGAGAGAGCAAUGCUACAGCACAGACCUGAAAGGUCCUUCUAUGUGCAGAGGUCCUAUUUCAGAUUAAAUGUAGACCAGCAGACCUGACCGUGUCUAGUCACUUGAAGCCACAUUUAAGGCUAGCUGACCUAUUCACGAGGAUAGGAUUAGCUUCUAUAUGACUGUCAAAUAACACCUGCAUUUACCUGAAAAACAAGUAAAUAGUUCUGCUUUGGAAAUAAAUCAGUUUCACUUUAGAGUGCAGUUUUUGCCUGUGUAAAUACGUGUGUUUAAAUUUCAAUAAGGAAAGGCACUUCCUAAGAACUAGAGUCAAAACUGAGGGGUUUUGUGUAAUCAUUGCUAGAUGACCAAAGCACAAUAUGAGGAUAGUGUCUUCCUGGCAUCCUGUUUCCAUCUGAGGCCGCAGCCUGUUCUUCUGUGCACCACUUCCUAUGUCUUUACAACUGUCCAAAUGAAUUUUUGUAACUCACUUAUUUUAAAUUGGGGGCAUAUUGGAAAUCCACAUGGAAAUUAGCAAAGUAUGUCCUUUCUGUAACCAUAACACCUGCUGUUGGCCUCUGCACAGCUGUGCCACUGGCUUCCGUUUAGGUUCUGAGUACAAUUCAAAGUCUUGAUUACCCAUGAAUCCCUCACAGAUUAAGGUCUAUAUACUUGAGUGGUCAGCGCAGUCCCUGUGUUUUAACCUCCAGCUGAGGUCAACUGAGAUUGAACUGACCUUAAACAUUUUCAGGUGGGUCACAGAAUUUGAUGUAGAUGGUUCUCUGCUCUGAAAUGUUUUCCCACUUCAGUCCAGCAAAGCUGGAAUGCAUUGUGUUUCAAGUCAUAAGGUAAAAAUCAAAUUCACUAGGCUCUCUGGGAGAGGAACUGAUUUCAAGUGAACAAGAACUAAGUCCUUUUUUUUUUUGACAGUUGGAGAGUAUUUCGGCAAUGAUAUUGUAGCAACACUUUGAUGUGGCUUCAUGUAUCAUACUUUUAAUAAUGAAACGUUCCUAUAUUUAAAGCUUAGUUACACUGUAUAACUUAAAAUUGAUGUGUCACAUUCACAUGGUGGAGGUUGAUUUCUAUUAAAAGCAACAGACAAUACUGGUUGGUAGAAAUAUGUUUUUAGGCAAAUUCUGAAACAUAGAACUUGUGUUCUGGGAAAAAAAAAAAAAACAAACACCAACUGCAAAUACACGCAUGCAGUCCAAACAGGAAUUCAUCAAUUUGUUUAAAUAAUCAUAAAAGUAAUGGAUGAUUGGGUCCUUAGAUGGCAAUCAUUUUUAAACCUCAUCUUUAUAUAUGUAUAUAUACAUAUAUAUAUAUAUAUAUAUAUGUUUGGUAAUAAGUCUUCACAUAGCUAUUUAUGUGCUUAUUUGUGUUCGAAUAGGGAUGCCAGCACUUGUCUGAGGAUUCCUCAGCAGAAUCAUCAGAAAUCUUGGACAAAAUGAUAACUUUCUGAACAUUUUUCACAUCUUUACAUAUUUAUGUUUACACUUACAUAGCUUCCUUAAAAUGCUGUCUCUGUAUAAAUCCAUUUUAUAAAUGCAUUUCUUUCAGAUGAACUAAAUCUGAUGUUUUUUGUUUCAGAGAGUAAGUUCUACUCUUUAAAAAAACAAACAGAUAAAAACUUGUGCUUUUUAGAAAUUGAGAGAAUCAAACAAUUUGCAAAAAAUAAAUAGCAUAAUAGUACAGUUCAGUCUUAGCAAAAAAAUAGCUGCAAAACUGUAAUAGAAGAAAUGUGACUUCAUGUAGGAUCUGACUAGGAAUUUAUUAUAUGGACCAAUGAACUCAUCUUUUGUCAUUUAUCUCUGUAAACCUGUGAGAUUUCUUGGAAGAUAGUUAGUUAAAUGAGGAGCAGAGAUGAAUCAGCAGAUAUAAUUUAUUUAGACUUUAAAAAGGCUUUUGAUGAUAAAGUCCUUAGCAAGAGGCUAUUAAGGAAAGUUAGUAACCAUAUGGUGAAAGAUAAAGUUCUGCCAUGGAUUAAAAAGCGGUUAACAGAUAAGAUAAAAAGACUGGAAAUAAAUGGAUAAUUCUCCCUGGAAAGAGGUUAAUAGCAAGGUGCCCCUUCAUUACUGUGACUAGCAAUCGAUAUCAUGGUUCACCUGCUUUAGCAGAUCAUUAAUAGUAAGGUACAUAACUUGUGGAUAAAAAUACUCAGACUAAUCCGAGUACCAAAGAAAGGACCGCUAGUACUGAAAUUAAAAGCUAUUUGGACAACUUGGGGGUAGAUAAAAUUUGCCAGAGGUACUAAGUGCAAGGCAGAGUGUGUUGGAAGGAAGGGUUCAAAUUACUUUUAGAUGGUGAUAUGCUCCCAAUGAGCUGCAAUGUCUACAGUUAGCUUAUUGAAGGCAACUGUUAACAUGCAUUGUAAAGAAGGGAAGAGGAAUAGGUAAAAGUGGUUCCAGUGUAUGCUGCUUGCAGGAACAAGCAAUUUAUGUUAGCAACUAACUUCAAACUGGCAGAGCCCACUAAGGUCUGCAGGGAACAGUCUUGCACUGACAAAGAGAUGGGCUAGCUGAGCCCAGAUUAUGAAGACUUUUUGGACUGUUGGGAUUUUUUAAAUCAGAAAAUGCAGAAACAUCAAGACAGAAAUUGAAUAUGGAAAUGUAUCAGGCUUCAUGAAGCUCUGUAGGAAAAGUUUCUGAAGGACAGAGUGGAAUGGAUAAUUUUUAUCAGAAUUAAAUUGUGUGUUCAAGACACAUUAUCCCAACUCAGUAGUCUAAUCUAUACACAUCUAUAUAUUUUAGAUCAAAUCCUUGCUCUGUCUGACAUCAAGAGUAUUCCUGGGAGCAGAGACCUGAAUUCUGCUUUUCCUGCAUGACAGUCCUGCCCACUGGGCUGCCAAGUUCCGUCCUAAUAAGUACUUACAAGUGGAUUAUCCAACAGGAGAGAAUGAGAGACUCUUCCCAAGGACGGACAGAGCUAAAACUGGGACCUGUCUAUAAUCAGAAAGUAGGGAUCCAUACUCAAGUUUCUGCUAUGUUUGCUUCAGAAAAGGGGUAUGAAUUUGGCUCUUCUUCAACUCAGGCAUGUGUUUUCAUUAUUACUGACUUCCUGGCUUUGGUGUGCAAAUAAAUAUAUACAACUUUUGUAUUGGAGAUUUGAAAUCAUAAACAUUUUUGCAAACAUUAGAAAAACACUUACUACAUAGCUCUUGUCUUUCAGUGUGUCACUUGACAUUAUCCCCUGGACAAAGAGAAGAUAAUUUCCCCUAGCCAGCAGUAUUGUCCGGUACAGCUUGAUGCGUUGAACCAGUAUGCAUUUUCCUUGAAGAUUCAGUCUUUCCCUAAUAUUCAGCACAGUGAGAGGCCACUGCUACAACAGUUACCUACUCAAUAAUAUACUAGUUAUCUACAGUAGUUCGGGGAGGAAAGAGAGAGUCCUAUAUUCAGUCUGUUAAUUGGAAUGAAGUGCAUAAGUAGUGUGCAAUUGCUGUAUGGAUCGAUAUGGAUCGAUGUUUUGUAAUACCAACCACAAAGUACACACACACUACAAGAGAAAUUUAAACCAUAUACAAUGGUAAAUGAAAAUACAGUAUAUACAAUAAAACUUAACAUAUAACAAUACAGAGAGACACGUAGCGUCAGCAUAGAUGCUGAAAUGCUCUACAAAGUGAAAAAAGUAGCUAUUCUAUUUGAUUACUUUUUGUACAACCAUCUCUAGUUUUCUAUGUUUCUCUCGUAACCGGACAGUGCUCACUGAGCUAACCAGAAGGCUAGCUAAUUUCUUCAACUAUCACUCACUGAAUUUGUCUUCAGAAGAAAAGCAUUCAAAUAGUGAGCUUUUUCAGGGAAAGACAGGUGGAAAUAGUGCAUAUUCAUCAGUUACUUAACUAAGUUUUGCCAAAACUUGUCUCCAGUUCAAAAAAUGAAAAAGAUUCAGCAUAUUUUUUUAAAUGAGGCAGAUUUCUCGCCACCUAUCUUAAUGUCAGUCUAGAAUUUUAUCUGGGAAACACAUGCAGGAAAUUUUGGUGAAAAGAAUUUGCACUGUUUUAUAACAUUCAUUUCUUGGCAAUGCCAAGAAAGCACAAUGAGAAUGAAAACAGAAACUUAGUAACAAAACAGGUCAAACCAUAAUGCUUAUUAUAUGAGAAUUUGAAAUGUAUUUGUUAGUUCUUGUUUACUCAGAAUCAGUUCGCCCACACUUAAUGCAAACUGCUGUCUACUGUUAGUUUCAGCACUGGGUAAGCUGACAGUCUGGCUAGUUUACCUGCUCUGUGUUUAGAAACUGAACUGGUUUCAGCCGAUGGUGUAAGAGUAGAGGCCAACCCUUUUACACAGGUCAAAAAAUAUGGCUGUCAAUCAAUUCACAGGUUAUUAGUAUACAAACAGUUCUGUACCUCUUCACUGCCACAGCGCUGUAACUUCAUCACUUUAGAGCACUUUUUACAAAAUGCUCUCAAAGACUGCAAUUCUUAAACUUUUCCUUACGCUAAAAUUCUUCAGGUCUUUCUCAGACUUUUAUCAGUUGGCAAGGAAGAAACAAAACUUAAAACAUCCAGCUGGAUUAGUGUCCCCAACAUGAUGCAAACUGAGCAUGUUUGUUCACUGAGUUAGAUGAAGUAGUGACAGAGCUAGGAACACAACAGAACCACAGGGUCCUCAUUUUAUACUAGCUGUCUUUUUAAGUCAGUAUGACUUACUAAAACCACUAAGAAAGUACUUUAUAAAGCAGAUUUGAAUAUACCGUAACACUGGAAGGAUAGCCACAUCAUGCAGAAAUACCUUUUGCCUCUUGAGGUAGGAGGAAUUUAGGAGAAGAAAACACUGCAAAGGGCUCAAUCCAUAGGAGUGGUUCCGUAUCUACUGUCUGACAUAUGGGACACUUUCAAGUCUCAGGAGAAUGGAGUUUCAUAAGAACAUGAAGGAGUAGGGCAUCAAUAUAAUACUAAGCUUGGAACCCUCUGAUCUCCCUCAGAAGCCAGGAGGUUCUCAGAGACAUCAAUUCAGAAGAGUGUUUGCUGUACAGAACAUGCUAGUAGCUGUCCUUGCUGGAUGUCAAGCUAUGGUGUAUCUCACACAGCUGAUACUUCUGAAGGAGCCCAUUCUGGGAGAGUUUUUGGCACAAAGUUGAUACUUGUAGCAGUAUAAUUUGCUGCCAUGGAGAGGGCUAUAUCCCCCUUGCAAGCCUUC